CCCCUUUUCAGUUUUAUAAGCAUGAUGAUCGGGUUUUCACGUGCCUGUGUGAUAUGUGCCUCCCUUCAACCUUGUUGAAGGCACAUGACCUUUCUGACA